rnacentral:misc_RNA from 1 species
GUAUUAAGAUGCGUUAGACGCGUUUACAUUCUGAUACUUUAAGAGUUUGUAGUGUACAUAGGCCGGCAGAAUGCUUCCAACCCGGAGGCUAGAAACCCACGCCAACCUACAGUAAGUGCACAGGUGUAGAGUGGAUGAGCAGGGCGUGCACAUGCCUCGGAAGGCCAGCAACAACCCGUUUCAAAACUCGUUAAUGAUCCUUCCGCAGGUUCACCUACGGAAA